AACGAACGCUGGCGGCAGGCUUAACACAUGCAACUCGAACGCCCCGCAAGGGGAGUGGCAGACGGGUGAGUAACGCGUGGGAACAUACCCUUUUCUACGGAAUAGCUCUGGGAAACUGGAAUUAAUACCGUAUACGCCCUACGGGGGAAAGAUUUAUCGGGGAAGGAUUGGCCCGCGUUGGAUUAGCUAGUUGGUGGGGUAAAGGCCUACCAAGGCGACGAUCCAUAGCUGGUCUGAGAGGAUGAUCAGCCACAUUGGGACUGAGACACGGCCCAAACUCCUACGGGAGGCAGCAGUGGGGAAUAUUGGACAAUGGGCGCAAGCCUGAUCCAGCCAUGCCGCGUGAGUGAUGAAGGCCUUAGGGUUGUAAAGCUCUUUCACCGAUGAAGAUAAUGACGGUAGUCGGAGAAGAAGCCCCGGCUAACUUCGUG
rnacentral:rRNA from 1 species